CGGUCAUGUUACCGGUCAUGAGGCAGAGUCAUGGUCAUGACAGUUGUCAUGCUCCUUGUGCAGCAUGACUGAUCAUGAAUCGCCACUCAUAUGUGUAAAUUCAGUCAUGUUCCCAAUGGUCAUAUGCUGGCUAUGUGUUCAUGUUUUGUUCCUUUCUAAAAAAUGACAAUUAUAUGCCAUAUGGACUCCGGAAUCCCUUCUGAAAUGCUGCAUAGUAUAUUACCUCUAUAACAAUGUGCACAAUGUACUAUACAGCAUCCCUGCCGGGAUUCUGGAGUGCACUUGAAUUACCUUCGUUUCAGCCACUUGCAGUGACUUGAUAUGCAUUCAGGCGCGGCCGUAAACAAAGCCCUUAGGCUUAGCUGCACUUAUCCAACGCAAAAGAUCAGUAUAUGCCAGCUAGCAGGGCAACUUCCUUUUGGCCUGUUGCCAUGCCUUACUCGGUCAGCUCCCUUACACCCUGUUGUUAAUUUGAAGCCAUAUGUUACAUACUUAAGGCAUGUAUUUAAGGUUUAAUUAGCAAAGAUUCUCUAUUCCUGCUAUUUCCCGCCGCCGCCGCGCCUGUUGUUCAGACAAUUGCAUCUCCCAGCCCCACCUCCGUCGCUGCUACUCCGUUGCUAAUUCCCGCCGCCGCCGCGCCUGCUGCAUUGCUAUUUCCCGCCACCGCCACGCCUGCCGUUUAGGCUACUGCACCUCCCAACCCCACCGCCGUCGCUGCCACUGCUGCUGCGUUGCUAAUUCCCGCCGCCGUCACGCCUGCCGUUUAGGCUACUGCACCUCCCAGCCCCAACGCCGUCGCUCCUGCUGCUGCUGCGUUGCUAUUUCCCGCCACCGCCGCACCUGCUGCUGUUGCUAUUUCCCACCGCCGCCGCGCCUAUUGUGCAGACUAAUGCACCUCCCAGCCCCACCUUCGUCGCUGCCGCUGCUACUCCGUUGCUAAUUCCCGCCGCCGCCGCACCUGCUGCUGUUGCUAUUUCCCGCCGCCGCCGUGCCUGUUGUUCAGACUAAUGUAUCUCCCAACCCCACCGCCGUCGCUGCCGCUGCUGCUGCGUUGCUGAUUCCCCCCGCCGCCGCGCCUGCUGUUGAAAGUAAUGGCCCUCCCAGCCCCACCUUCGUCGCUGCUGCUGCUGUUGCGUUGCUAUUUCCCGCCGCCGCCGCGCCUGCCGUUUAGGCUACUGCACCUCCCAGCCCCACCUUCGUCACUGCCGCUGCUACUCCGUUGCUAAUUCCCGCCGCCGCCGCGCCUGCUGCUGUUGCUAUUUCCCGCCGCUGCCACGCCUGCCGUUUAGGCUACUGCACCUCCCAGCCCCUUCGCCGUCGCUCCUGCUGCUGCUGCGUUGCUAUUUCCCGCCACCGCCGCACCUGCUGCUGUUGCUAUUUCCCACCGCCGCCGCGCCUAUUGUGCAGACUAAUGCACCUCCCAGCCCCACCUUCGUCGCUGCCGCUGCUACUCCGUUGCUAAUUCCCGCCGCCGCCGCACCUGCUGCUGUUGCUAUUUCCCACNN
rnacentral:lncRNA from 1 species